GAAGACCCAAGACCUCCCUCCCCGCUGGGCAGAAGCCCCUACCCCAUCACUCGGCUGCAAGGCAGAGGUCCCAAGCUCUCCCCGCACCCCCAGUCUGGCAUCCUGAAUACUGAAGGAUAUGGCAGUCUUGAAGAGCCACAGCUAACAUCCAGAGCGAGUGAAGGACCCGCCGCCGAAGUGCCGCCGAAGAUCCAGUAGGGAACCGCACGGAGGAGACCACUUGCAUUACUACAAAAGACUAAAGUUAUCAUAGUAUCCUGACCUGAAGAUUCUAAUUAUUUCUUGAGAUAUCAGCCAGACACAAACUGUUAAUAGAGCUUGAGGACUCAAACAGAGCUGAAGAAUUCACAUCUAAUGCCAAUUUUAACUUGAUACUUAUCAAAGACGUUUAUAUAUGUGUAUUAUCCAGGUGAUGAUCUGCUAAUUGUAAACUAACCAGAAAAGUGUAUUUGUACUAAUGAAAACAUAUGUGUAACAACUUAACUGCGGGUUU